rnacentral:lncRNA from 1 species
CGUAUCAAAACUGACAAGUAAUUUAUUUUAAGAAUAAAAAAAUCUAAGAUAUUACAAGAAUAAUAAAGAAGAGAGAUAACAAGAGAGAAUAGAGAAGGAGAGCUCUGAAACAUUUUAUGUGAGAGAGAAAAAGUUCAUGAAGGUGAUACGUGUUUUGGAAUGAUCAGCGGACCUUUGUUUAAAGAGUUUGAAAAAGAUAUGUGACCGGCCCAAAGUCUCUAACGUGCGAAAUAAUCCCACAACUUGUAGCUGACGAGACCGGUUCAAUAGACCACGAGGUGUGAUGAUGUCUCGCGACUUGUGAGACAAGUCGAGCAAGGUCUACAAAUUCCUUGCAGUUGCAGCUUAACUAGAUCAAGUGAAGAUAUUCCAACGUCAAGCUAUUACAGUGGGCUCAGUCAGACAAGCUCGACCGAGGAGCUCAGCCAUAGGUGAUCGGCCAUGGUAGCUCGGUCACAGGAUCCUAGCAACAGGAGCUUAACCACAAAACCUCAAUCAUAAAGUUCGGC